CCUACGGGAGGCUGCAGUGAGGAAUAUUGGUCAAUGGGCGGAAGCCUGAACCAGCCAAGUAGCGUGCGGGAUGAAGGCCCUACGGGUCGUAAACCGCUUUUGCACGGGGAAAACACCCUCCACUUGUGGAGGUCUGCAGGUACCGUGCGAAUAAGGGCCGGCAAAUUCCGUGCCAGCAGCAGCGGUAAUACGGAAGGCCCGAGGGUUAGCCGGAUUCAUUGGGCUUAAGGGGAGCGUAGGCGGGCGCUCAAGUCAGCUGGAAAAUCGCCGGGCUCAACCGCGCCCCGCAGUUGAAACUGGACGCCUUGAGUUCACAACAGGCAGGCGGAAUUCGUAGUGUAGCGGUGAAAUGCAUAGAUAUCACGAGGAACCCCGAUUGCGAAGGCAGCCUGCCGGGGUGCGACUGACGCUGAGGCUCGAAGGUGCGGGUAUCAAACAGGAUUAGAUACCCGUGUAGUC
rnacentral:rRNA from 1 species